rnacentral:rRNA from 1 species
UACGGAGGGUGCAAGCGUUGCUCGGAAUUAUUGGGCGUAAAGGGUAGGUAGGUGGUCUCAUUUGUCUGGGGUGAAAGCCUUGAGCUUAACUCAAGAAGUGCCCCAGAAACGGUGAGACUGGAGUCCUGGAGAGGGUCGUGGAAUUCCCGGUGUAGCGGUGAAAUGCGUAGAGAUCGGGAGGAACACCAGAGGCGAAAGCGGCGACCUGGACAGGAGCUGACACUCAACUACGAAAGCGUGGGGAGCAAACAGG